GAGGGUAUAGCUCAAAUGGUAGAGCACAUGCUUAGCAUGCAUAAGGUCCUAGGUUCAAUCCCCAGUACCUCCU
rfam:Camelus ferus unplaced genomic scaffold scaffold1815, whole genome shotgun sequence.